rnacentral:rRNA from 1 species
ACUCCUACGGGAGGCAGCAGCUGGGGAAUUUUGGACAAUGGGGGAAACCCUGAUCCAGCCAUUCCGCGUGAGUGAAGAAGGCCUUCGGGUUGUAAAGCUCUUUCGCAAGGGAAGAAAACUUACACUCUAAUAAAGUGUGAGGCUGACGGUACCUUGAUAAGAAGCACCGGCUAACUACGUGCCAGCAGCCGCGGUAAUA